AGGUGACCAGACGAUCGCGUGCCCGCAAAGGGCAUGAGGAAAGUCCGAGCAUCGCAGGGCAGGGUGCCGGCUAACGGCCGGUGGAGGCGACUCCAAGGAGAGUGCAACAGAGAGAUACCGCCCGGGCCUCCCGGGUAAGGAUGGAAAGGCGAGGUAAGAGCUCACCCACGGCUUGGCGACUUGUCCGUGCUGUAAACCCCACCUGAUGCAAGAUGCAAUGAAGGCAUACGCGGCUGCCCGUCGCGCCUUCGCAAUCGCUUGAGCCCGCGCGGCAACGCCGGGCCUGGAUAGAUGAUCGUCCACGACAGAACUCGGCUUACGGUCACGCUCG
rnacentral:RNase_P_RNA from 1 species